UACGAAGGGUGCAAGCGUUACUCGGAAUUACUGGGCGUAAAGCGUGCGUAGGUGGUUUGUUAAGUCUGAUGUGAAAGCCCUGGGCUCAACCUGGGAAUUGCAUUGGAUACUGGCAGGCUAGAGUGCGGUAGAGGAUGGCGGAAUUCCCGGUGUAGCAGUGAAAUGCGUAGAGAUCGGGAGGAACGAUCUGUGGCGAAGGCGGCCAUCUGGCCAGCACUGACACUGAGGCACGGAAAGCGUGGGGAGCAAACAGGAUAGAAACCCUAGUACGUCCAG
rnacentral:rRNA from 1 species